GCGCACCUGUUCACAUCUAAUCACAGAAGUUAAGCAUCAUCAAGAUCGGUAAGUACUUAGGAGGGUGACCACCUGGGAACAC